rnacentral:rRNA from 1 species
CGUGCCGUAGCUAACGCUUUAAGUACCCCGCCUGGGGAGUACGGCCGCAAGGCUAAAACUCAAAGGAAUUGACGGGGCCCCGCACAAGCGGCGGAGCAUGCGGAUUAAUUCGAUGCAACGCGUAGAACCUUACCUGGGUUUGACAUGGAUCGGGAGUGCUCAGAGAUGGGUGUGCCUCUUUUGGGGUCGGUUCACAGGUGGUGCAUGGCUGUCGUCAGCUCGUGUCGUGAGAUGUUGGGUUAAGUCCCGCAACGAGCGCAACCCUUGUUCACUGUUGCCAGCACGUUAUGGUGGGGACUCAGUGGAGACCGCCGGGGUCAACUCGGAGGAAGGUGGGGAUGACGUCAAGUCAUCAUGCCCCUUAUGUCCAGGGCUUCACGCAUGCUACAAUGGCUGGUACAGAGAGUGGCGAGCCUGUGAGGGUGAGCGAAUCUCGGAAAGCCGGUCUCAGUUCGGAUUGGGGUCUGCAACUCGACCUCAUGAAGUCGGAGUCGCUAGUAAUCGCAGAUCAGCAACGCUGCGGUGAAUACGUUCCCGGGGCUUGUACACACCGCCCGUCAAGUCAUGAAAGUUGGUAACACCCGAAGCCGGUGGCCUAACCGUUGUGGGGGAGCCGUCGAAGGUGGGACUGGUGAUUAGGACUAAGUCGUAACAAGGUAACCAAGGGCGA